AGCCAUGCAUGUUUAUGUAAUAAGGACGAACAGCUCAGUAAAACUGCGUUUAUUUAGUCUGUCUGUAAGAUAACUACGUGAAAAUGUAGCUAAGAGGGGACAGAAUAAGACGUAGGACUAUCAGUUAGUUGGUAGUGUAAAGGACUACCAAGACGAUAACGGUUAACGGGGAAUCAGGGUUCUAUACCGGAGAGGGAGCCUGAGAGAUAGCUCCCACGUCCAAGGACGGCAGCAGGUGCGAAAAUUGCCCACUGUUAUAGGAGGCAGUUAUGAGACGUGAGAAUGAAUGCUUGGUAAAAAGAAGCAGGAGAAUUGGAGGGCAAGUUUGGUGCCAGCAGCCGCGGUAAUACCGACUCCAAGAGUGUGUAUGAGAGAUGCUGCAGUUAAAAAGUCCGUAGUCUAUUCAUUUGAAAUGGAGGCAUGAUGUCUCUUCUAAAACUGAUGGAGGAACCGAUGGGGAACAUAGUAUACUCGGGCGAGAGAUGAAAUGUCAGGACCCCUUGUGGACUAAGCGAGGCGAAAGCGAUGUUCUAGUAGGUAUUCAGUGAUCAAGGACGAAGGCUGGAGGAUCGAAAGUGAUUAGAUACCGCAGUAGUUCCAGCAGUAAAAGAUGCCGACAUGUUGAUUGGACACAGUUAACAGGGAGAAAUCUUAGAGUUCGGGCUCUGGGGAUAGUAUGCUCGCAAGAGUGAAAAUUAAAGAAAUU
rnacentral:rRNA from 1 species